rnacentral:rRNA from 1 species
UGGGGAAUCUUGCGCAAUGGGGGAAACCCUGACGCAGCAACGCCGCGUGAGUGAUGAAGGUCUUCGGAUCGUAAAGCUCUGUCGGCAGGGGCAAUGCUUAUUUCGUCUAACAGAUGGAGUAGGUGAUGGUACCUGCAAAGGAAGCACCGGCUAACUCUGUGCCAGCAGCCGCGGUAAUACAGAGGGUGCAAGCGUUGUUCGGAAUUAUUGGGCGUAAAGGGAGUGUAGGCUGUCUUGUAAGUCUUCUGUGAAAUCUACGGGCUUAGCCUGUAACGUGCAGAGGAAACUGCGAGGCUUGAGUGUUGGAGAGGACAGUGGAAUUCCCGGUGUAGAAGUGAAAUUCGUAGAGAUCGGGAGGAACACCAGUGGCGAAGGCGACUGUCUGGCUGACAACUGACGCUGAGACUCGAAAGCAUGGGGAGCAAACA